rnacentral:rRNA from 1 species
GACAAACGGGUCAAGUUAAGAUUUAUUGGUAUAAAAGGAGGUUAGGGCAAGAAAGAAAAGUGAAGAAAUAUGUUUUGGUGUAGGGGUACAAUCUGUGCAGUAAUUCGUUAUUUGUAAUUUUCAUUUUCUGAUGCCUCGAAACUUUAAUAGAAGACCGGGAUUAGAUACCCCGUUAUUUAGAAUGUAAAGUGUAGUUGUGUAAAUGAUUUACCUGAGUACUACGGGCUUAAAAAUAUAAGUGUUUUUGAAUAAGCUUAAAACUCAAAAAACUUGGCGGUGCCUUAAUACCUUCCAGGGGAACCUGUCCUAUAAUCGAUAAUCCACGAUUUAACUUACUUCUUGUUGUAUAAAAACAGUUUGUAUACCGUCGUCGUCAGAUUACCUUUAAGAGAAUAAAAGUUGUCGGUAAAAGAAGUUACUAAUAGGUCACGAUUAAUUGUGAUCGAGGGUAAGGCUUUAGAUGUCAGAUCAAGGUGCAGCUUAUCAUGAAGUAGAGAUGGGUUACAAUGUGGAGUCGUAUAAGUGGAAUUAGGCCUGUAAGGUCCUAAUGAAAUUGGACUUGGGAGUAAUAAAUUUAUAAAGUAAAGAGUUGAUAUGAAAAGGGUACUGAGGUGCGU